rnacentral:rRNA from 1 species
UUAUCGGAGAGUUUGAUCCUGGCUCAGGACGAACGCUGGCGGCGUGCCUAAUACAUGCAAGUCGAGCGGACAGAUGGGAGCUUGCUCCCUGAUGUUAGCGGCGGACGGGUGAGUAACACGUGGGUAACCUGCCUGUAAGACUGGGAUAACUCCGGGAAACCGGGGCUAAUACAGGAU